AUUUCCGUAGGAGCGAAGUCGAAUGGCGCCCCCAGCGGCUUGGGGUGGGAUCUCAGUGCCUCAUUCCUGGCGGCCCCGGGAGGGCGAUGCCAAGUUUCGCUCUUGUUCCCUGGGCUGCAGUGCAGUGGCACCAUCUCGGCUCACCGCAACCUCCGCCUCCCAAGUUCAAGCGAUUCUCCUGCCUCAGCCUCCCCAGUAUCUGGGAUUACAGGUAUGCGCCACCACGCCCGGCUAAUUUUGUAUUUUUAGUAGAGACGGGGUUUCUCCAUGUUGGUCAGGCUGGUCUUGAACUCCCGACCUCAGGUGAUUCUCCCGCCUCGGCCUCCCAAAGUACUGGGAUUACAGGCGUGAGCCACUGCGCCUGGCCUACUAAUACUAGGUUUUAUUCCGGGCCCUUCACAGUUAAUGUUGGAGGCCUCUGGAGGAUGGCCACACCUGGGCUAUUUGCAGAAGCCUGGACAGCACAGCAGGCAGAGUUAAAGCAGUUAAGGCAGUAUCAGCUGUAAAAUUAAAACAGGCACAAUGAUAUCCUGGAUGACAAGAGCUGGAGGCUGUCAUUCUAACAAUGUAGUGAGACUGGCUGUCUUGUCUCAUGCCCACCCCUGGAAACAUGCGCAGGAACUCAAAGCACCUAGCACAGAGGAAGUGUCUGGUUGUUUUAAAGGAAAAACAAAACCAAAAAAAGCACCUCCUGCUCUGACCACCCCUAUUUCCAGUUUUCCCUUUUGGCACAGCAAAGAUGACCUUGGGACUGAGGUGGAACCAUGUAAUUCUUCGUAAUCCCAGAGUCAGGCAGACCUGGGAGAUAACAUCCAUCUCGAAGGAAGAUCUGGCCUGAAGAGCAGUCACUCUUGCCUGGCAUGCAGAGAAUGCCAAAUCAUAUUAAUGACUGGCCAGAAUGAAGUGCGUGACCUCAUCACUCCAUAACUGACAGGAAACAACUGCUAGGGCAAGAAAAAAGGGUCUCCAGUGAGUAUUCUUGUCCACACACAUCCCCACUCACGUUCCUGGACCACUGCAUCUAACUGCCGCAGCAGCUAAUGAACCUUCUGGAAUAAAGGACCAGUUUCUUAAGAAGGGAUUGAGACCUCCAGUGGCCUCCCACAUUGUUUCCGGCAAGAAUUUAAAAAUUAUUUGUAACAUAUAGUAAUAAAAACUAACCACAGGCUGGGCGCAGUGGCUCACGCCUGUAAUCCCAGCACUUUGGGAGGCUGAGGCAGGUGGAUCACCUGAGGUCAGGAGUUCGAGACCAGCCUGACCAAUAUGGUGAAACCCUGUUUCUCCUAAAAAUACAAAAAUUAGCUGGGCAUGGUGGUGGGCGCCUGUAAUCUCAGCUACUCAGGAGGCUGAAACAGGAGAACUGCUUGAAUCUGGGAGGUAGAUGUUGCAGUGAGCCGAUAUCGCGCCAUUGCACUCCAGCCUGGGCAAUGACUCCGUCUCAAAAAAAAAAAAAAAAAAAAAAAACUAACCACAGCUACUAUUUAUGAACUCUAGUGCCACACCCCAUUUCUUCCCAGGUUUCACCCCCUCUUCCCAGGUUUCACCCACCCCAACCAGUGUUGUUUGCAACACUUCAGCUUCUCUCCUCACGAAGCACGUCUCCAGAGACGCCUCUUCCGCAACUUCCCAGGGAAGCCAUUUCUGCCUGGACCCACCACAGCUCCCAACCUGUCACGCACCCCUGGAGGGUUUUGCUCUGUAAUCCUGAUUUAGAAAUCCUCUUAUAUGAAACCACUGUAAUCCACAUCUGGUUAGACAAUUGGAAAAGUUCAUUGAAAGGAGAAAUAAUAAAAAUGGCAUCCAUCCCUUAAAUGUUGUAUGCCAACGUAAAACACAUUCGACAAUGACCCUGGGCUAAGGCUCUACCUUACAGAGAAACCUGUAUCGGUGUUCCCCUCCAUUUUCCUUACAUAAACCAACCAAAAAUCUUCAGUUGUUCCGUUCUCUGUCUCUCUCCCUCUCCACACCCACCUUCCCUCUUCCUCUCUCCCUCCCUCCCUCUCUCUUUCUCUCUUUUUUGAGACAGAGUUUCACUCUGUCACCCAGGCUGGAGUGCAGCGGCUAGAUCUUGGUUCACUGCAGCCUCCACCACUCCCCCCACUUCCCCCCCGCCGCCCCUGCCCCCACCGCAGCCUCCCAGGUGGCUGGGACUACAGGCCACCACGCCCACUAAUUUUUGUAUUUUUUCUAUAGAGACGGGGUUUCAUCAUGUUGCCCAGACUGGUCUCAAACUCUUGGGCUCAAGCAAUCCUCUCACCUCAGCCUCCCGGUGCUGGGAUUAUAGGCGUGAACCAUCGCGUCCGGCCUCCCAAAUCUUUUACAGUUGUCUUGUUCACUUCUCAUUCAGCAGCAUUUUGAGUUGGGAGGGGUAACAACUCACCUUAAUCAAGUCUCUCUAAAGCAUUCAACUUAGUUUUACUAGGUUCAUUUCUUGUAGCUCAUUGGUUUAACUAAUAGUUCCCCAAAUCACAUCCUACCAGUAUAAAAGCACAACUGGUAUAAACACGUUUGGGAACACACAUAACUCAAGUAUCAGGAUGUAAGAGCGAGAGCAUGGGGAGAGUUAAGAAUUUCUCACAGACUGAUUCCCUCCCACAUUCAUCCCUGGUGUGUUUAUCCGUGUUAGGGCUGUUCUGAUGAAAGUCUUGUAGGACUUGGCAGCAAGAUGGGAAAGAUCCAUGGAAGUCCAUUGCUCAUAGCUGAUGAUGAUCUCUCAUUGCUGAGCUUAGGGUUGAAAAAGGAGUGCCAGGUCCUUUGAAAUCAAGAAGAAUUUAUGAAUCACCUUUCAUUUAUGGAGCCCUUAGCUCAAAGCUCUAAAGUUAGUCUUUUCUCAAGAUUAUAUCCUAUUUGGGAAUGCUCAUAAUGGUCCAAUCACCAUUUGUGAAAACUUACUGUGUACCAGCAAUAAACACUCUUCUACAUAGACAAUCUCAUUCUAAUAUAAUUUCUGUGCACGUUAUAGAUUCUAUUUCUGAAACAGCCCUAUGUGGUAGUUUUAUUACUAUCCUCAUUUUCACCCAACAAAUCUGAGGCACUGAGAGGUUAAGGACCUGGACUGAAGCUGCACAGCUAGAAGGUGACAGA
rnacentral:lncRNA from 1 species